GGAGAGAUGGCAGAGCGGUCGAUUGCACUGGUCUUGAAAACCAGCGACGGGCAACCGUCCGUGGGUUCGAAUCCCACUCUCUCCGCCA
rnacentral:tRNA from 1 species